GAGUUCCCCUCAUGGCUCAGUGGAAACGAAUCUGACCAGCAUCCAUGAAGAUACAGGUUCGAUCCCUAGCCUCACUCAGGGGGUUGAGGAUCCAGCGUUGCCGUGAGCUGUGGUGUAGGUCACAUUCAUGGUUCAGAUCUGGCGUUGCUGUGGCUGGGGUGUAGGCCAGUGGCUACAGCUCCGAUUUGACCCCUAGCCUGAGAACCUCCAUAUGCUGCAGGUGCAGCCCUAAAAAGACCCAAAAAAAAAUUUGUUGUUUCACUUUCAUCUUUAGGUACUUAAUUUUAAAACUUUCAUUUAAAAAAAUUUGUUUAAUCUGCCUGAAACACUGUCCAGAAAACAGAAAGAUAUUUUUUGUCAGCACCUGAACAACUAACUUCACAUAGAAAGUGUCCAAUAAGUUAUACACUGCAUCAUGAAUGCUUUAUAGAAAAAUAGAUGGAAGCUUUAAGUGAAAGAGGAAAAAAACCAGAAAGCAAUGCCAAACCCUCAACCUCAGCCAUGGAUGCUCUGAGAUGCCCAGGUGCGCACAGCGUCCCAGGGGCCCUCCCCGCCCAGCGCUCUCGCACCUUCACCGCGGUUUCCUUCACCACGAAGUCCGCGACAUCCCACCAGGGUCGCCGUAACUGCUUUCCACUGAACCUCAAAUACAUCUGCACCUUCCCUCCUGCUCAGCUCCUCCUUUCCCUGCGCAAAGCCCAGGCCUCGCUCCUGAAGCUUCUAUAGCCAAGCUCCCGAUCCCAGCCGCUGUCUCUGCCCAACAGGGUCUAAAGGGUUCAGAGACAGCAACGGCCCAUGAAGAUGCCUGAGCGCGGAGCUCCCGCGCGGCUUGCCCAGGUCCACCACCUAGCGGUGCCCGCGGGGGUCGAUCAGCGUGGUCCUCCUGGACCCACCUGAGGGAUGAUGGCUCAGUGACCACAUCAUGACAUGGGAGCUGAAAUGCCAAAGUCCGGGGGAGCAGAGGCAAGCAGAUUAGCCUGGUGCCUUCAGGGACCCGCAGCAAGCCUCCUAGUCCCGCCAAGGUGACCGAAGACUCCCUCCCAUCAACUCCGCAGCAGCUCUGGGCACCUGGUAAAAAAUAAAGCUGCCUGGGGCCCCGCGCCCAGAGACGGAGGCGAGGGCUCUGGGCUGUGGCCGAUUGUGAAAAGCGCCCCAGGUCAGGCCCUAAAGGGCAGCCCGGGCUCAGAGAGGCAGGGACGCGUCUGUCCCUGACUCAGGGACAUUCCCCCAGACUGCUACAAAUUUCUCAGCCUCACCUCCCAAGGACCUGCCUUCCUACAACUGACCUACCUGAAAAGACAGGCUCUGGUGAAGAUGCCGGUCAAGCGGCCGUGCGAGGUCCCCUUCCCCGUCC
rnacentral:lncRNA from 1 species